UACGGGGGGAGCAAGCGUUGUUCGGAUUUACUGGGCGUAAAGGGCGCGUAGGCGGUCAGCACAAGUCAGUUGUGAAAUCUCCGGGCUUAACUCGGAAAGGUCAACUGAUACUGUGCGACUAGAGUGCGGAAGGGGCAACUGGAAUUCUCGGUGUAGCGGUGAAAUGCGCAGAUAUCAGGAGGAACACCGGUGGCGAAGGCGGGUCUCUGGGCCGAUACUGACGCUGAAGCGCGAAAGCUAGGGGAGCGAACGGG
rnacentral:rRNA from 1 species